rnacentral:rRNA from 1 species
GAUGAACGCUAGCGGCAGGCCUAACACAUGCAAGUCGAACGGUAACAGGAAAAAGCUUGCUUUUUUGCUGACGAGUGGCGCACGGGUGCGUAACGCGUAUACAAUCUACCUUUUACAGUGGGAUAGCCUUUAGAAAUGAAGAUUAAUACCGCAUAGUAUGGUGACUUGGCAUCAAGAUAUCAUUAAAGAUUUAUCGGUAAAAGAUGAGUAUGCGUUCUAUUAGCUAGAUGGUAAGGUAACGGCUUACCAUGGCAACGAUAGAUAGGGGCCCUGAGAGGGGGAUCCCCCACACUGGUACUGAGACACGGACCAG